rnacentral:lncRNA from 1 species
CCCCAGAGCGGGGCUGGCCCCGCGGCCGUGGGCACCGUUCCGGCCCGGCCCGGCGACGAGCGGUGAGGGCGAGCAGUGCCUGCUCUUGCAGCGCCUGCUCUCACAGGCAGCUGUUCAAUUAAAACUCUGGUAACCUCCCCAGAGGUCAAAGACGCUGCAGGUUGAAAGCCUACCGGGGCAGGUCUUCACCCCUUUCCUUCACCUUCUGUGGUAGCACGUGUUCCCUCCUCCUCCAUCAGCACGCCACCUGCUCCAAUACCAUUUUGCCACCUUCCCCCCUCAACUGUCUCUCCCUGUCCUGGAAGCGAACCGUUACCUGCUGCCUCCUGGGAAAGUUUCCCAUCCCAGGACUGCUGCUGCUCACAGUUCCUAACAGCUGAUCCCAGCUUGGGGGACUGAGGAACCUGGGGACAUGGAGAAUGAUUGCUUGCCUUUACCCCCUUGGUGCAGCCUCUCCUGGGUAUGUAAAAGCAAACAGUGGGAUUGUUUGUUACUAUUUAUGUUCUGUCAUUCCCUGAAGGACCAAAAAUUUUAGUUCUCGAAGGUCUGUUUUUACUGAAAGUGUCAGAUUGAAAAAAAGGUGGUUGAUAAAAUGUGGGAAACAGGCAAAGAAUUAAGACAGUUCCCUGAGUACCUGUGAAAUUCUCCUCUCAUUUCUGCCUGCGACACCCCUUCCUGUCCACAUCCCCUUGCUUACUUUCAUCAAAAGCAGCUUUCAGCCAAGCAGCAUGAACCAGGAUUUAGGAACUGGCAAUGAGGAGCAGAAAUGAAGAUGGAUUACUUCAGCAUUGCUAGCAUUUAACAACUAUCCCUGACACCUGGUUGGCUAAAGCAC